ensembl:lncRNA
GAAAUAAAAAAAUCUAAAUCUAGAUAAUUAGAAACUUUUAACGACAACUCAUUGUCAUCUUCAGCAAGUGGACCCGUCCACUUGUCUCACACUGUCGUUCUUGACACCUGGCAAAUUACGAACAAAACAAGUAUGCUCUUCUCACAGCUUCAGCCAAUCAUCAUUAACUGCACGCUCUCUCCGCGCGCCACUCGUCUGCAAAGCGAGCUGAUUGAGGCGUCUUAAUGCCGCCGCGGUUUCCCACGAACGAGAAAGACGAUGGGCUUCAAUCUUCCACGCGCCGCCAAGAGAGGGACGGAGGGAACCGGGUUCCUCCGGGAGUUCGAUGCAUUGUUCCAGUCAAUAUAUCGAUGCAUGUUUGAGACUGAUCCAAGGGUAAAAUCCCCCCGGGACAGAGAAGUGUUGGUUGGAAAUGACAACCUGCGCGCUCGUCCCUCGACGCGUCCCGCUUUGAGAGGCUUUGCCUCUCCGACGCUUCCCCAGCCGCCACGUGAAAUCAGAGAGCAGCAGCGUUCAAAGGAAAGGCCGCACCCCCCCCCCCCCCCGUCGAAACAAUCCACAUGACGCAACACUGGAAGUCAGCACGUGACGCAGCGCGAGGAGAUCGAGCAGAUGUGAUGUUGAGAAAGAAAGAAGCGGAGAUUAAGUCAAGUUCAAAUGGGUCAUGUUAUAAACCUCAAGAUAGCAAGGAUGAUGGAGGGAUUAUCCAACACGACCAGGACGGCUAAUCAAAGGCACAUUCUGAAGAUUUGAAGGGAAGGUUGACCACGACGGAAAAAGUAUGAUUGACGUUAAUCCUUGUGGGUGGAUUAAAGAACCAUGUACAAUUCUAACGUCGUGUCACUUCCCUUUCACACAUCUAUCUCCGUAUGAAAGGAGACACUCCACUCAUAAAAUACAAAGUAAAGAUGUGUUUUGAAC